rnacentral:sRNA from 1 species
CAGGUGAUUCGCUACCUUAAGUGCGGGACGAAAAUCCAGGUGAUUCGCUACCUUUAAGU